UACGUAGGGGGCUAGCGUUGUCCGGAAUCAUUGGGCGUAAAGCGCGUGUAGGCGGUCCGAUAAGUCCGCUGUGAAAGUCGGGGGCUCAACCCUCGGAUGCCGGUGGAUACGGUCGGGCUUGAGUCCGGAAGAGGCGAGUGGAAUUCCUGGUGUAGCGGUGAAAUGCGCAGAUAUCAGGAGGAACACCAAUUGCGAAGGCAGCUCGCUGGGACGUAACUGACACUGAGGCGCGAAAGCGUGGGGAGCGAACAGG
rnacentral:rRNA from 1 species